rnacentral:tRNA from 1 species
GCCUGGGUGGCUUAGUCGGUUGAGCGUCCGACUUCAGAUCAGGUCAUGAUCUCGUGAUCUGUGAGUUCGAGCCCCGCGUCGGGCU